rnacentral:lncRNA from 13 species
AUGGAAAAUAUAAUUGUGUAUUCAUCUGUGCUGUUUUGUGUAGUUCCAGGGCCUGUAGAUGGAGCGGGGGGAGAGGGAGGACGAGUGGUCCUGAGCCCACUGGAUGAGAUCCAGCCUGGGAGGAGUGAAUGUGUGCUUGCAGAGCAUGGAGGGUUAGGAGGGCUGUCUGCAACAGACACCACUAGCGCAGCCAAGACAGAGCCCGAAGACCCUGCAGGAGGAUCUGGAAAGGUUGCCCUGUACUCAUUUGACAGCUCCCAGACAGCGAGGAUGAGGACAAAGGCAAGAAGGAAAAGAAGAAGCUAAGGAAGGUGAGUCGCCUAAGUGGUUCUAGUUUUAACAUUCCUUACUUGGAAUCUAUUGCUCACUAGAGCCUCUCAAAUUUGGUAAAAGAGACCCGAACGUAAAUGCAGUGUCAUGUCAGUGUGCCGUUUCAGAACUGUACGCUCUACACUACUCGUUUAGGGUGUAGUCGCUCCACAGCUGAGGGCUGAUUUUUUAUUUAUUUUUGACCUUUUAUUUAACUAGGCAAGUCAGUUAAGAACAAAUUCUUAUUUACAAUCACAGCCUACACCGGCAAAACCUGGAUGACGCUGGGGCAAAUGUGCGCCGCCCUAUCACGGCCGGUUGUGAUACAGCCUGGAAUCAAACCAGGGUCUGUAGUGACGCCUCUAGAACUGAGGUGCAGUGCCUUAGACCGCUGUGCCACUCGAGAGCCCAAAAAUGUUGAUCUCCAAAAACAUAGAUGCCUAUUGUGUUAGCAGUAACCUAUUGGAGAGUGGCUAUCUGUUACCAGUCUGUCAUCUCUAAGUAUGUUAUCUAGAAAUACUGUUAUUUAAUAGUGGGGCAUUCUGUAAGACCCUUUUUAAAUUCAACAGAAAAUAAUAUCCAUUACAUUCACACAUGAAAGGUAAAGUAGGAACUAACCAAAUAGGGGAGGUAUCUGACAUGUACUUUACUGGUGUCAAUUAUGUAAUACCAUCUUUGUUUUUCUUGUACACAGGAUUCCAGUUCAUCCUCCUCCUCCUCUGACAGCAGCUCUUCAGACAGUGAAGUAAGCUAGGCAAAUCUCUUAACAUGUGACCUAAUGUUCAUCAGCAUCACAUCAAGAUCUGGGCUUGAUUGAGCGUGUAUUGUGCAAUGGAACAAAUAGAAAAGUCACAGAAUUGUGAACCCCGCCCAUCUGGCAGUCCAGCCUAAAGCUGCCUGUUUGGAAUGAGUCACUGAUCAAACAGAGAGAGAGAGAGAGAGAGAGUACGUUUUGGUUGGAUUGGGCUGUGCGUUUAGUCUUAGGCAAAUAUCUUGUUCAUGCGAAGCCAAAAGGAGACUUGAAUCCCCCAAGGAAACCAUUAAAGUGAAAGGAAGCCAAAUUGCUUUAUAGAGGGUGUUUUGACAAAGCUGGUAUCUAACCUGAAACCAAUCCAAUGUUGCUUUAAUCCUGGGAAUACUCUUGUCAAGCGUAUCCAAAUGAGGUUCCUUGCCAUGACACACAGCUUUAUAAAGUGGAUGUAGUCUCGUCUUACUACAUUGGGCUGGGCAGUUUUUAUUUGAUAAAAAUGUGACUAAUGAAAUUGCGUUAUUUAAUCUUACUCUUCUCACUUUUAGAUGUCCAAUCAUUUAGAUUGGUCUUUCAUACAAGGAUAAAAACGUGAAACACAUUUUUGGGAAAUUUGUCUUGGGAAAUGAGUGCACCUGUUUAUUUGAAUAGGAAAUCAGUUAAUUUGUUAAGAUUCUUGAUUAUCGAUUGCAGGUACUUUGACGCCACAAUAGAAACUCAACCCGCCAGCACUGUAUGCUGGUCUGGAACAACGGCACCAUGUUCUGUCGGCGUUAGUAAGCAGGAGAAACAGGUUUGCAUGCUUGAGAUAUGUGGGGUUGAAAGACUAGCUGAAAGACUGAAAGCCACAAUGAAACCCAUACGGUAGGCAUGCUGUGACCCUCGGGACCCAGAUCUAAGAUAGGCAUAGGACACCCAGUCAUAACCUGUGGAGCUGGUGCCCACAUGAUCAGGGAUCCUUACCGCUCUUGUGCUUACUCUCUGGAAUAUGCACCGAUAUGAUCUGUCAAAACACUCAAACUAACAAUUAUGCAUGAAUAAUAAAACGAGGAUGGAUACCACUGGGCUGGUUGGAACCUGAGAACCCAUUCUUGUAGAUGCUGACUCGUCAUGCUUGUUUAUUUCUGUUGAAGGACCCUUUUUUUUUUGUCACGGCAGGUCCUGGAAUAAAUCUGUGUUAACUACCCAAUAUGUCUUGAAAGGAAAGUACCCCCAGUGAUCUAAAAGGAGAUGUAGCCAAUGUUCCUGCAGGCACUUUUGUCCAACCUGUCAGGGUAUUGUUUUGUUCUGAUAUGUUAACGUUUAGGUGAAGGAGUCAAACUCGCUAGUGUAGUGACUUCUGUCUGCAGGAAGAGAAGAAGAAAAGGAAGAAGGAAAAGAAAGAAGAUGCUGGGGAUAUCAUAGUACACGGUGUAACCUUCAUAUCUGAGCCUGGUGAGUGAUGCCUGUGUUUAUUUGACCUUUUAUUUAACUAGGCAAGACAGUUAAGAACAAAUUCUUAUUUUCAAUGACGUCCUAGAGAACAGUGGGUUAUCUGCCUUGUUCAGGGGCAGAACGACAGAUUUUUACCUUGUCAGCUUGGGGAUUCGAAGUCCAACGCUCUAACCACUAGGUUACCUGCCGCCCCAUGUGUGUUCGUGAUUGUGUACUGAAAGCUACGCACUGUAGUAAAUGACUGUCUUUAUACACAAAUGACCCACCUUGUAACCAGUGGUGGAAAAAGUACUCAAUUCUCAUACUUGAGUAAAAGUCAAGAUACCUUAACAGAAAAUGACUCAAGUAAAAGUCACCCAGUAAAAUACUACUUGAGUAAAAGUAUUUGGUUUUAAAUAUACUUAAGUAUUAAAAGUAAAUGUAGUUGCUGAAAUAUACUUAAGUAUGAAUAUUUAAAAAUGCCUUAUUAAGCAAACCAGACGGCAUAAUCUUAUUUAUAUUUUUUAUUUACGGAUAGCCAGAUUCACACUCCAACAGUCCGACAUAAUUUAAAAACAAAGCAUUUGUGUUUAGUGAGUCUGCUAGAUCAGAGGCAGUAGGGAUGACCAGGGAUGUUAUCUUGGUAAGUGCGUGAAUUGGACCAUUUUCCUGUCCUGCUAGCCAUUCAAAAUGUAACGAGUACUUUUGGGUGUCAGGGAUAAUGUAUGGAGUAAAAAGUACAUUGUUUUUAGGAAUGUAGUGAAGUAAAAGUUGUCAAAAAUAUAAAUAGUAAAGUACAGACGCCCCAAAAAACGACUUAAGUAGUACUUUAAAGUAUUUUUUUCCUUUAAAGUAUUUUUUUCCUUUAAAGUAUUUUUUUCCUUUAAAGUAUUUUCCUUACCUUUUUCUUUUGCUUCUUCUUCUUUUUCUUCUUCGUGCCAUGGGUCAUCACUGCAGGCUUCGUGCCAUGGGUCAUCACUGCAGGCUUCGUGCCAUGGGUCAUCACUGCAGGCUUCGUGCCAUGGGUCAUCACUGCAGGCUUCGUGCCAUGGGU